UGAAUCCCACUGAGCCUCUGGGCUUUUCUGAUGCUGGAGGCAAUACAUUCUCUCAGUUUGAGAAGAGAUGUUUGUGUGCUUGCAGUGGAAGCCUCUCCACAAAGACAGAGUCCCUCCUCCUUGCAGACCAUCUGGUUCUUUGUCUAGUAAGGCUCUGCCUCAGAGAACAACAUUUUGUUAAUUCUUCUUGGGAGCAAGGGAAGCCCUCACUUCCUUCAUCCUAGGCUUGACUGCUUUGAGGUACUGUUGAGGUGGUAUAUGGAGGUGAGAGAAAAAUGCCUCCUUGUCUGUGUGAGCCUCCUGUAACAAUGUAAACUAGUCAGAUAUUAGGCUUCACUCUGGAAGGUGGAGGUUGCGACAAGCUGAGAUCCUGCCAUUGCACUCCAGC
rnacentral:lncRNA from 1 species